GUUUUUUUCAGCAGCAGGACUAGGAAAUGUGAAGAGACACAAUGGACAUUGGUCUGGAUCAUCAAUCGUACAAAGACAUUGUCUCAACAUGAAAGACAACAGCGAUGCAGAUCCUCUGUGAAGGAGGAGGCCUGUCUGAUGGAGCUGUUCAUCCAUCGGUGGUCGUUCUUCAUCAGACCCAGUAGAUCCAGAGAUGUGGGUGUAGAC